GACGAAGGGGGCUAGCGUUGUUCGGAAUUACUGGGCGUAAAGAGCGUGUAGGCGGUUGUUAAAGUCGGGUGUGAAAGCCUUGAGCUUAACUCAAGAAAUGCACUCGAUACUUGGUGACUAGAGGACCGGAGAGGAUAGUGGAAUUCCCAGUGUAGUGGUGAAAUACGUAGAGAUUGGGAAGAACACCAGUGGCGAAGGCGGCUAUCUGGACGGUUUCUGACGCUAAGACGCGAAAGCGUGGGGAGCAAACAGG
rnacentral:rRNA from 1 species